GCCCGGGUGGCGGAAUUGGUAGACGCGCUAGAUUCAGGUUCUAGUGGGCACUAGCCUGUGGGAGUUCGAGUCUCCCCUCGGGCACCA
rnacentral:tRNA from 4 species